GCCAACCAGACUCUGCAGGCCAUGGACAGCGAGGACUUUCCUCAGGCUGCCAAGCAAAUCAAAGAUGGAGUGACCAUGGCCCCUGCCUUCCGGCUAUCAUUGAAAGCGAAGGUCAGUGACAACAUGAGUCACCUCAUGGUGGACUUCGCGCAAGAGCGGCAGAUGCUACAGGCACUCAAGUUCCUGCCUGUGCCCAGCGCACCCGUGAUCGACCUGGCUGAGUCCCUGGUGGCAGAUAACUGUGUGACCCUGGUGUGGCGCAUGCCGGAUGAGGACAGCAAGAUUGACCACUACGUGCUGGAGUACCGGCGGACCAACUUCGAGGGCCCGCCCCGCCUCAAGGAGGACCAGCCCUGGAUGGUCAUCGAGGGCAUCCGGCAGACAGAGUACACCCUGACAGGUCUCAAGUUUGACAUGAAAUACAUGAACUUCCGUGUGAAGGCCUGUAACAAGGCAGUUGCAGGAGAGUUCUCUGAGCCGGUGACUCUGGAGACACCAGAACCUGCGGGUGGAUGAUCUCUCCGUGGAGUGGGACGCUAUGGGCGGGAAGGUGCAGGAUAUCAAGGCUCGUGAGAAAGAUGGCAAGGGGCGGACGGCGUCUCCCAUCAACUCCCCAGCCAGAGGUACUCCAUCUCCCAAGAGGAUGCCCUCAGGUCGUGGGGGACGGGACCGCUUCACCGCUGAGUCCUACACAGUUCUG
rnacentral:sRNA from 1 species